rnacentral:rRNA from 1 species
GAGUUUGAUCGUGGCUCAGGAUGAACGCUAGCGGCAGGCUUAAUACAUGCAAGUCGAGCGGUAACAGGUGUAGCAAUACAUGCUGACGAGCGGCAGACGGGUGAGGAACACGUACGCAGCUUCCCUCAAACCGGGGCACAACCUUGAGAAAUCAGGGCUAAUUCCCCAUAACAUUGCGAAAGGGCAUCUGAUUGCAAUUAAAGAUUUAUCAGUUUGAGAUAGGCGUGCGUUCGAUUAGCUAGUUGGUAAGGUAACGGCCUACCAAGGCAACGAUCGAUAGCUGGUGUGAGAGCACGACCAGCCACACGGGCACUGAGAUACGGGCCCGACUCCUACGGGAGGCAGCAGUAAGGAAUAUUGGUCAAUGGACGCAAGUCUGAACCAGCCAUGCCGCGUGAGGGAUGAAGGUCCUCUGGAUUGUAAACCUCUUUUAUCUGUGAAUAAAUACCUGAUUUCUAUCGGGUUUGAAGGUAAUAGAUGAAUAAGCACCGGCUAACUCCGUGCCA